rnacentral:SRP_RNA from 2 species
GCUGGGCGUGGUUGUGCACACCUGUAAUCCCAGCUACUUGGGAGGCUGAGGCAGAAGAAUCACUUGAACCUAGGAGUUGGAGGUUGCAGUGGGCCAGGAUCACGCCACUGCACUCCAGCCUGGGUGACAGAGCGAGACUCUGUCUCCA